CUACGGGCGGCACCAGUGAGGAAUAUUGGUCAAUGGGCGCAAGCCUGAACCAGCCAUGCCGCGUGAAGGAUGAAGGCCUUAUGGGUUGUAAACUUCUUUUAUACGGGAAUAAACUUAGCUAUGUAUAGCUAACUGCAGGUACCGUAAGAAUAAGCACCGGCUAACUCCGUGCCAGCAGCCGCGGUAAUACGGAGGGUGCAAGCGUUAUCCGGAUUUAUUGGGUUUAAAGGGUCCGCAGGCGGACUAAUAAGUCAGUGGUGAAAUCUCUCGGCUCAACCGAGAAACUGCCAUUGAUACUGUUAGUCUAGAGUGUAGUUGGCGUAGGCGGAAUGUAUCAUGUAGCGGUGAAAUGCUUAGAUAUGAUACAGAACACCGAUCGCGAAGGCAGCUUACGAAACUACAACUGACGCUCAGGGACGAAAGCGUGGGAAGCGAACAGGAUUAGAUACCCGCGUAGUC
rnacentral:rRNA from 1 species